CCUACGGGAGGCAGCAGUGAGGAAUAUUGGUCAAUGGACGAGAGUCUGAACCAGCCAAGUAGCGUGAAGGAUGACUGCCCUAUGGGUUGUAAACUUCUUUUAUAAAGGAAUAAAACGAGGCACGUGUGCCUUUUUGCAUGUACUUUAUGAAUAAGGAUCGGCUAACUCCGUGCCAGCAGCCGCGGUAAUACGGAGGAUCCGAGCGUUAUCCGGAUUUAUUGGGUUGAAAGGGAGCGUAGAUGGGUUGUUAAGUCAGUUGUGAAAGUUUGCGGCUCAACCGUAAAAUUGCAAUUGAUACUGGCAGUCGUGAGUACAGUUGAGGUAGGCGGAAUUCGUGGUGUAGCGGUGAAAUGCUUAGAUAUCACGAAGAACCCCGAUUGCGAAGGCAGCUUACUAAACUGUGACUGACAUUGAUGCUCGAAAGUGUGGGUAUCAAACAGGAUUAGAUACCCUUGUAGUC
rnacentral:rRNA from 1 species